GUUAAAUAUUUCGUAAAGUUUUACCUAUAGAUCUCCAACAUUUUAGUUUCAAUCUGACUUUGUAAAGAGACAGUCAGUACCAUGAAGACACUUUUUCCGAUAUUCAUGUUUGCAGUAAUGAAUUGCAAUUAUUUCAAUGUUACUUCAAAAGACUUAGGCCACAUAAGUAUUUUUGAAGGUGACUAUUUGCGCGAUGAAACAAUUUCCCUCGAAGGCGAUGACAUGUUGACAAUCAAGGGAAUAGUACUGAAACGUAUUUUCCCAGUACUGGAGGAGAGGCACACACUACCUUGGAAUAUGUGGCCGAUAAGUUGGGAUAUAGAGCCAAAUUUAAAUUGCGGACAAGUUCUGGCGUCAGUAUAGCAGUUUUACCGCCCUUGAGCGCAUCGUCAAUUAAAUCAUUGGUGGGAUAGAUGGGGUGAUAUUGCAAGUUUUUAUUAAUUUGAAUAAUAUAAGAAAAGUUGUGGAAGUUAUUAAAGAGAAGUGAGAAGUCAUUUAAAAUUAUAAUAUUU